CUCAGGGCGGCUCCGACCACCUCCUGCUCCUCUCCACUCCCCAUUUCCUCCUGUCCCUUUCCACCACUCAGGGCUGCACUCCUGACCCGGUGCAGAGCCUGGGCCCUAUUAAUAGCAGUGCCCGCAGCGCUGCUCCGUGCACCAGGCGGAUCCUGCAGGAGGGCUGCAGUGAGGGCAGUGCUGUCCUUGUCCCACACGCAGCCCUGCGAGGCCCUUCCCUCCAAGCAGCAUGACAACAGGACAAGCGAUUUCUAUUCUUUCCCAAAA